GCCAGUGACGGGUUCGUGCCGAGCUCAACGCUGCUCGGGGAGGGGCCUGCAGCCUCAUUGGCCACGAGCACUGCAGAUCGCGGGCAAGGUGCCACCAACCUUCCAGCGUAUAGCAGAGAUCUUGACCUGGCUAACAGCCAGCAUUGCUGUUUCAACGCAAGCUGUCCACCGGGCUGGUUGAUCAGGCUUACAGUGUGCACUGCGGCUCAAAUACAGGCUUAUUGCUUCGCCGUCCGGACCAGACCACCGUGCGCCACCUUCGCUUCAGCGCUGCACACAGAGACGCUGCACACCCAUUCCUGGACGCCACUGUUUCUACGUCGGCGUGAAGGGAAGAAAUCUUUACAUGUCAGAAAGCAUUUAUCGUAGAUAUUUGUUUCCGUUUCACACGUUUCACUUCAAUUAAACGUGCGUUUUGCAGCUCAGGACUUCAAAAAUUAUAUCUAUAUACCAGCGGUUCACAAAUGGGGGCCCACGAAGCCAUAUUUGAAAGUGUGUAGUAGUGCCCCUGGUAAUAUUUGGCAAGCUUGGCCGCAUAACAUUCAUGUGCCGCGGCGUACCUGGCUUGCGUUUCCCCUUCUCCGCGAAAUGUCGGUAAACCCUUUGUUGCAGUUUUCUACAACGCAUGCACACGAGCACACUUUCUUUGCGCUCGUACAUAUCAAGAGAACAAAAAAAGCCAAAUACAUGCGGAUUAUGGCCGCAGAACCGACAAGAUUAGUGAUGUGUGGCGACCGGAACUACACGGACAGAGUCAAACAGGCGGAGCAGUUUCCGGCCAGGUCUGCUAGGCCAAUACCCCCGUCACACGUGGCAACUUAGGUGCACUUUGCGAGCGAGUGUACUUACGCUCACACAGUGUCAUUUCGGCGGUUCGCCUGCUACACGAGAAAACGAAGUGUACUCUAGAAACGAGGGCAGCGGCAAUUGUCUGUUUGUAGCGGAAUAUAUAUUUGUUACUUUCGCACCCGCGUCUCAUCGUCGGACCACCACGUUGUCUUCGUGGAAAUGGCACCAGUGGCACACGUCAUCAUAAACGACUAGAGAACGACCCGCCUACACAGGUGCAAGUGUGCCUGGACGUAAACAACGCGACGGACGCAGCCAUUGCACGGUAUGUGCUGCCCCCUAGCGGACGUGGCCGCAAACUGGCCGAGGGUAAGAGAAGCAAGGAUUUUUGUUAAUUUAUCACUUUUUUAAUACAUAUCGGUAUCCGUUAUAACGAAAACAAUAGUUCAAAAGUGGCAUGAGUGUCGUUUUAAGCAACAGACUAUUCUGUGCAAGCCACUGGCAUUGAGGCUACACACUUCGUCGCAGCGGAGUGAAUUAGAAGUGUGGCAGCUUGGGCUAGUUGGUAUGGCAUGACAAUAGUUAUAGCGCGAGAACAAAACGACGACCUUCUUGUCUUGUCGGUGUCCUUCUUGUCGGUGACCUUCUUGUGGGUGACCUUCUUGUCGGUGUCCUUCUUGUCGGUGUCCUUCUUGUCUCUGUGUCGUCGUUUUGUUCUGUGUCGUCUUUUGUUGAAGCGAAGUGAGGUUGGGGAACGCACUUGCCGGUAAGUGUACUUUGUAGCGAGUGACACUAAACGUGUGACAGCGCGCAAAAUGACCAUCGAGGCUAAGUGUACUCGCUCGAACUGCACCUAAGUUUCCACGUGUGACAGGGGUGUAACCCCACCUGCGAAAACAUACCACUACUACCAUCACCGCACAACUUAUUGAGAAGUUUUGUAGAUCGAACUGGCGUGGCACUUUAGUUUGACCAAUCUUCGAAAGAAAUAAAUAAAAGGCACCUAUCAUU